rnacentral:rRNA from 1 species
AAAGCCCGAACCACGUUAAUUCAAAUUGGCCCGUACCCUAAACCGACACAGGUGGGAAGGUAGAGUAUACCCAGGGGCGCGAGAUAACUCUCUCUAAGGAACUCGGCAAAAUGGCCCCGUAACUUCGGGAGAAGGGGUGCCACCGAGAGGUGGUCGCAGUGAAGAGUCCCAGGCGACUGUUUACCAAAAACACAGGUCUCCGCUAAGUCGCAAGACGAUGUAUGGGGGCUGACGCCUGCCCAGUGCCGGAAGGUUAAGGAAGUUGGUCAGGGAGCAAUCCUGAAGCUAGCGACUGAAGCCCCGGUGAACGGCGGCCGUAACUAUAACGGUCCUAAGGUAGCGAAAUUCCUUGUCGGGUAAGUUCCGACCCGCACGAAAGGCGUAACGAUCUGGGAGCUGUCUCGGAGAGAGGCUCGGCGAAAUAGGAAUGUCUGUGAAGAUACGGACUACCUGCACCCGGACAGAAAGACCCUAUGAAGCUUUACUGUAGCUUGGUAUUGGGUUCGGGCUUUGAUUGCGCAGGAUAGGUGGGAGACUAUGAGAUAGCUCUUAUGGGAGUUAUGGAGUCACUGGUGAGAUACCACUCUAUCAAGGCUAGAAUUCUAACUUUGACCCGUUAUCCGGGCAGAGAACAGUAUCAGGUGGGCAGUUUGACUGGGGCGGUCGCCUCCUAAAUGGUAACGGAGGCGCGCAAAGGUUCCCUCAGGCUGGUUGGAAAUCAGCCAUUGAGUGUAAAGGCAUAAGGGAGCUUGACUGCGAGACUGACAAGUCGAGCAGGUACGAAAGUAGGCCUUAGUGAUCCGACGGUUCCGCGUGGAAGGGCCGUCGCUCAACGGAUAAAAGUUACUCUAAGGAUAACAGGCUGAUCUCCCCCAAGAGUUCACAUCGACGGGGAGGUUUGGCACCUCGAUGUCGGCUCAUCGCAACCUGGGGCUGUAGUCGGUCCCAAGGGUUGGGCUGUUCGCCCAUUAAAGCGGUACGUGAGCUGGGUUCAGAACGUCGUGAGACAGUUCGGUCCAUAUCCGGUGCAGGCGUAGGAACAUUGAGAGGAGUCUUCCUUAGUACGAGAGGACCGGGAAGAACGCACCGCUGGUGUACCUGUUAUCGUGCCAACGGUAAACGCAGGGUAGCCAAGUGCGGAGAGGAUAACCGCUGAAAGCAUCUAAGUGGGAAGCCCACCUCAAGAUGAGUGUUCCCAUGGCAAAAGCCAGCAAGGUCACGGGUAGACCACCCGUUAAUAGGCGCUAGAUGGAAGUCCAGCAAUGGAUGUAGUCGAGGCGUACUAACAGACC